GUAAAUGGCUGACUCAGAGGAUGAUGAUCAGCACGACAGUGCCUUCUGCCUGUGCUAGUACUAUGUGUUUAUAGGAAAGAUGUUAGAAGGUGACAGUCACCAGUUCAGCUCCACCCCUUGAUCAGUUCGCCAGGCAUUAUGGAGACUGGGAAAACCAAGAGAGCAAAUGGAGGAAGGAGCAUAAUUAAUUGGGUCAUAGGAAGAAAUAUGCAUUGUAAAAUUCCAUUGUAAAAUCCCAUGCUGGAAAAUCUUUGUCGAAAUCAUUGCAUCCAGCUAUAAUGUUGAGAAAUUCUUAAAUAUGGGAUUGGUUCAUUCAACACACCUGGAG
rnacentral:lncRNA from 12 species